AUCUCCCUGCUUUUAGAGGCUUAUAUGUAUGGAGACGUAGGUGGCCCAUAGUUGAGACUUGCAAAAAUCUAUUUAGACAAUUUUCCAAGAAAUAUGAAAAAGAAAAUAGAAAAAAUCAUCUUGACCUAAAAUAUGAGUGAGUCUCUUUCUCUUGUAUGUCUCUCAAGAAAGCCACCGGCAGGGGCCAGCCGGACCGCAUCGGUGCUGCCGAAGGGUGCUAGUGCCACCGCCGACAACAGGGGGAGCUGCCGGCUCCCCUUUCCUCUACAUGUCGUGGGCCUGCCCACGAUGGGUAAAGGCAUGGGGGAGCUCCAGCAGCUCCCCCUGCCGUCGUCGGGCAUGACGGACACUGCUCGGCCACCCAAGCAGAGCCGACGGUGGGACGGCGUCUGUCGCGCCGAUGUCGGCAGGGCCGCAGGGGCAUUCAUGGAUGGAGACUGUUAGGGCCCGUUUGAUGGGCGGUUGAAAUCCAUUGGGGGAAGGGAAAUUGGUACGGGCGGGUGAAAUUUCACCCGCCUGAUUGAAAUCCCAUCAAACGGGGUGGAAUUCCACCCGUUUAACCCAAAAGGGAGCCGUAGAAUUCCACCCGCUCCAAAGUCCGAGUUCGGAGCUCGGACUUUUGAGUGGGUGAAAUUUCACCCGCUCGUUGUUUCGGGCGCUCGACCUCCUUCCUCAGCGCACGACCUCCUUCGGCAGCUCACAUCGCACCACAGCUCCUCCUCCCUCGAGCCUUCUCACAUUGCACCAGAGUGGAAGGAGGUCGCACCGUCACCGCCUCUCCGCUCCACCGCCGCCAUCGCCGUGGUUCUUCAAAUUAGGGCUUCGAAGACUCACCCUUCGAUUCUCUGCCUUCCUCUUCCACCGCUCGCCCCAUCUCUCGCCGUGCACCACCGCCGCCGCUCUACUUUGGAUGAUAGUCACAGCUUGCAGGGAACUUGAGUUCCUCGAUGUGAGAGGCUGUUGAGAUGUGAAAUUGGACGGGGAGGAGUGGCUGGCCAAGAGAAGGGUUAUAUCUAUUGAAGAAAAAGGUCCUUAUGAAGGCAGGAGCACAGGAGCACCACCAACUCCUGCCUUCAGAAUGUGAGAGAGAUUAGAGUGAGAGACCAAAAGGAGGAGAUCAGCGGCUACUCCUCCGCCCGGCGGCGAUGACGUGGCCUUCGUUGGGUGGGCUGGCCGGCGACAUUUUGGGCCAUUCAGAUUUGAUGUUUUUAAAUGGUUAAAAAAAAAACUGAAUGUCACCGUUCAGUUUUAUAUAUAUAUAUAAAGAAAAAAUAAAUACAAAAAGAGAAAAAAUAAAAAAUGUAGGACCUAGUUAUAUAUAUAUAUAUAUAUAUAUAUAUAUAUAUAUAUAUAAAUACCCUUCAAAAUUUUUGAAAGAUACUUAAUUUGUAAUCAAAAGUGCUGUGCAAAGGAAACCACCCAGAAACUUCUCAUAAGUCACCUCACUGUCUGCCAUGGGUUUUUUCUACCACCUACUCACACUUUAUUACUAAAUUUCAAUCCCAUCCUUCUUUAUUUAAGCUUUAUUUGUA